UGGGGAAUAUUGGACAAUGGGCGCAAGCCUGAUCCAGCCAUGCCGCGUGAGUGAUGAAGGCCCUAGGGUUGUAAAGCUCUUUAACCGGUGAAGAUAAUGACGGUAAUCGGAGAAGAAGCCCCGGCUAACUUCGUGCCAGCAGCCGCGGUAAUACGAAGGGGGCUAGCGUUGUUCGGAUUUACUGGGCGUAAAGCGCACGUAGGCGGACUUUUAAGUCAGGGGUGAAAUCCCGGGGCUCAACCCCGGAACUGCCUUUGAUACUGGAAGUCUUGAGUAUGGUAGAGGUGAGUGGAAUUCCGAGUGUCGAGGUGAAAUUCGUAGAUAUUCGGAGGAACACCAGUGGCGAAGGCGGCUCACUGGACCAUUACUGACGCUGAGGUGCGAAAGCGUGGGGAGCAAACAGG
rnacentral:rRNA from 1 species